UACGUAGGGUGCAAGCGUUGUCCGGAAUUAUUGGGCGUAAAGAGCUCGUAGGCGGUCUGUCACGUCGGCUGUGAAAUCCCGAGGCUCAACCUCGGGUCUGCAGUCGAUACGGGCAAACUAGAGUACUGCAGGGGAGACUGGAAUUCCUGGUGUAGCGGUGGAAUGCGCAGAUAUCAGGAGGAACACCGGUGGCGAAGGCGGGUCUCUGGGCAGUAACUGACGCUGAGGAGCGAAAGCGUGGGGAGCGAACAGG
rnacentral:rRNA from 1 species